CCAAGCACGUACACAAGGGCAAACGAUGCAUGUAAAUUAUCAACAUGGGACCAUCAAUACCAAUGACUUCGGGUUGACUGUCCGAGACAGUUCGCGAUACAUGAUUACCACCGUAAUCCAUGCAAGUAAUUGUCCUUAGCAACCCCCGUGUGAACGGGUGCUGAGUCCAAACUAUAGUACUACGUUGCUAAAGCAGGUAGAUAGCACUCCACGUGUAAACAUAAUAAACAGCAAUCAUUUAGACAAGUAAUACAUGCAAAUAGGUUAGCGUUCAAAUAGUUUGUGUUGUUUGUGAAUUUGAUAGAUUACGUAUGUAACACCCAAAAGUGCUGAAAGCAAAAAGGGAUCGAGUAUACUCACAGUGGUUGAUUGUGGAUUGAAGGGAGCACUGGGAAUAGGUUAGCCUGAAUAGUUCGAUAACACAACGAUGAGUAACGCGGAAAAGUAAACAAUGUACUUGGAUCGAGUAGGCCAUUCGAUCGGACAGCAGUUCGAUCGAGUGGGCUGUUCGAUUGGUUUGAAAGUCCGUUCGAACAUCCAUUCGAUCGGCUGGCUGGCUCGAUCGGCUGGUUCCUUCAAGUGGAUUGUUUCUUCCUUUGAUGUGAAGGAUGUGUUUGUGUAUGAUGGUUUGUACUACCUUUCAGGUUGGCCGAUCGAACAGCUGUUCGAUCGGUUAGCCCAACCGAUCGGCUAGCACUUCAUUGUUUUCAAAUAUGUCACUCGAUCGGUUGGUAUGUUCGAUCGGGUGACAUUCCAAUGUUUCGAAAAGUCUAAGUGUUUUGAAGUAUAGUAUCUCAUGAUUCGAGCAGUAAUGAUUACAAUCGAGUGGCGUAGUCGAUCGAACAGUACCUCGUCAAUACUACACUUUUGUGAGUUGGUGGGUCUAAGUGCUAGUCGAUCGGUUAGCCUAGCCGAUCGGCUGGCAUAGUCGUUCGGUUGGGCUGUUCGAUCGAACAGCCUAGCCGUUCGGCCAGCUUCUCGAUUCGGUUAACCUAUCACUUAACACUUGGUUAUUCCCGUUAGUUGUUGAUGUUUUAGAGAUAUUUUGACUACGAGUUGAACCACAAAGCUGCAGUCCCUACUUAGUCUACUGACUCGAGCAGGAAUCACCCAAACUCGGUCAGAGACGGUUUGGAACCCAAGUUUAACGUUUAACCCGGAAUCGGUAUAUCUCUCGGUAGAACCCGAAUCUUGAACCAUGUGUUUGCUUAGAUUGAUUUGUAAAUCGGUUCAAGUCUCGUUUUCACCUUUUUGAGUGUAAAAGAGUUGAAAGAUAGAUGAAAACUCAUCUUCCAAUCCUUUUCCACCGUGAAAUGUUAAGAUCUUUGGAAGAUUUUAGGUUAUCUAUGUGGAAAUCG
rnacentral:lncRNA from 1 species